GAUGAACGCUGGCGGCGUGCCUAAUACAUGCAAGUCGAGCGAACAGACGAGGAGCUUGCUCCUUCGACGUUAGCGGCGGACGGGUGAGUAACACGUAGGUAACCUACCUAUAAGACUGGGAUAACUUCGGGAAAUCGGAGCUAAUACCGGAUAAUAUUUCGAACCGCAUGGUUCGAUAGUGAAAGAUGGCUUUGCUAUCACUUAUAGAUGGACCUGCGCCGUAUUAGCUAGUUGGUAAGGUAACGGCUUACCAAGGCAACGAUACGUAGCCGACCUGAGAGGGUGAUCGGCCACACUGGAACUGAGACACGGUCCAGACUCCUACGGGAGGCAGCAGUAGGGAAUCUUCCGCAAUGGGCGAAAGCCUGACGGAGCAACGCCGCGUGAGUGAUGAAGGUCUUCGGAUCGUAAAACUCUGUUAUUAGGGAAGAACAAACGUGUAAGUAACUGUGCACGUCUUGACGGUACCUAAUCAGAAAGCCACGGCUAACUACGUG
rnacentral:rRNA from 1 species